rnacentral:rRNA from 1 species
GUCGAGAAUAAUUCACAAUGGACGAAAGUCUGAUGGUGCAACGCCGCGUGGAGGAUGAAGGUCUUCGGAUUGUAAACUCCUGUCAUCGGGGAGUAAGACCUGGCGGUAAAUAGCCGACAGGGUUGAUAGUACCCGAAGAGGAAGGGACGGCUAACUUCGUGCCAGCAGCCGCGGUAAUACGAAGGUCCCAAGCGUUGUUCGGAAUCACUGGGCGUCAAGGGAGCGUAGGCGGCGUGGUAAGUCAGAUGUGAAAUCCCGGGGCUCAACCCCGGAACUGCAUCCGAUACUGCCAUGCUUGAGGGUGGGAGAGGUAGCUGGAAUUCUCGGUGUAGCAGUGAAAUGCGUGGAUAUCGAGAGGAACACUCGUGGCGAAGGCGAGCUACUGGACAACAUCUGACGCUGAGGCUCGAAGGCCAGGGGAGCAAAAGGGAUUAGAUACCCUAGUAGUCC